rnacentral:rRNA from 1 species
AGUGAACGCUGGCGGUAGGCCUAACACAUGCAAGUCGAACGGCAGCACAGUAAGAGCUUGCUCUUACGGGUGGGGAGUGGCGGACGGGUGAGGAAUACAUCGUAAUCUACUUUUUCGUGGGGGAUAACGUAGGGAAACUUACGCUCAUACCGCAUACGACCUACGGGGGAAAGCAGUGGAUCGUCGGACCUUGCGGGAUUGAAUGAGCCGAUGUCGGAUUAGCUAGUUGGGGGGGUAAAGGCCCACCAAGGGGGCGAUCGGUAGCUGGUCUGAGAGGCUGGUAAGCCACACGGGAACUGAGACACGGUCCAGACUCCUACGGGAGGCAGCAGUGGGGAAUAUUGGACAAUGGGGGCAAGCCUGAUCCAGCCAUACCGCGUGGGUGGAGAAGGCCUUCGGGUUGUAAAGCCGUUUUGUUGGGAAAGAAAAGCAGCAGGUUAAUACCCCGCUGUUCUGACGGUACCCAAAGAAUAAGCACCGGCUAACUUCGUG